UUACAAUGAUGACCAUCUUAAGAUACCUUUGAAUUAUAGAUGACAACAGUAAUGUACUCUUGAGUGAC